GAUGAACGCUGGCGGCGUGCCUAAUACAUGUAAGUCGAGCGAAUGGAUUAAGAGCUUGCUCUUAUGAAGUUAGCGGCGGACGGGUGAGUAACACGUGGGUAACCUGCCCAUAAGGCUGGGAUAACUCCGGGAAACCGGGGCUAAUACCGGAUAACAUUUUGAACCGCAUGGUUCGAAAUUGAAAGGCGGCUUCGGCUGUCACUUAUGGAUGGACCCGCGUCGCAUUAGCUAGUUGGUGAGGUAACGGCUCACCAAGGCAACGAUGCGUAGCCGGCGUGAGAGGGUGAUCUGCCACACGGGGACUGAGACACGGCCCAGACUCCGACGGGAGGCAGCAGUAGGGAAUCUUCCGCAAAGGACGAAAGUCUGACGGAGCAACGCCGCGUGAGUGAUGAAGGCUUUCGGGUCGUAAAACUCUGUUGUUAGGGAAGAACAAGUGCUAGUUGAAUAAGCUGGCACCUUGACGGUACCUAACCAGAAAGCCACGGCUAACUACGUGCCAGCCGCCGCUGUAA
rnacentral:rRNA from 1 species